GAUGAACGCUGGCUACAGGCUUAACACAUGCAAGUCGAGGGGAAACGACGGGGAAGCUUGCUUCCCCGGGCGUCGACCGGCGCACGGGUGAGUAACGCGUAUCCAACCUGCCUCUGACUGAGGGAUAACCCGUCGAAAGUCGGCCUAAUACCUCAUGGCAUCGUCUGCGGGCAUCCAACGACGAUUAAAGAUUUCAUCGGUCAGGGAUGGGGAUGCGUCUGAUUAGCUUGUUGGCGGGGUAACGGCCCACCAAGGCUACGAUCAGUAGGGGUUCUGAGAGGAAGGUCCCCGACAUUGGAACUGAGACACGGUCCAAACUCCUACGGGAGGCAGCAGUGAGGAAUAUUGGUCAAUGGGCGGGAGCCUGAACCAGCCAAGUAGCGUGCAGGAUGACGGCCCUAUGGGUUGUAAACUGCUUUUAUGCGGGGAUAAAGUGAGGGACGUGUCCUUCAUUGCAGGUACCGCAUGAAUAAGGACCGGCUAAUUCCGUG
rnacentral:rRNA from 1 species